ensembl:misc_RNA Y_RNA Y RNA
GGCUGGCCCGAUGGCAGUCAGUUAUCAGAACUUAUUCACAUUUGUGUCACUAAAGUUGUACACCUCCACUGCUAACCUUAACUGGCUUAAA